UAAAUGACUAUAUAAAGCCGUCAAGUUGGACACUAAAAUUAUCAUUUUCAAAACGAAACUUUCGUAGUAUACUGAAUCAUCGAAUAAUUCAGCAAUCAUGAAGUUUUUCCACUACUUAGUACUUUUCGUCGUCAUGCUGACUAUUGGUUUCAAUGCAGGAGUAAAUGCUAGUCCAUCACAAGUUAAAAAACGUGCUCCUGAAGAUCUAUGUCCAUCUGCAUGGUGUGGAUCUUGAAUAGAAAAUCAAAGUUAUUCCAAUUACCAUAUAUUAAAAAAUGUAAUUGUGAAAAAAAUAAUCUGAUGCAAUAAAUACAUGAAUUAUUAAACAAACAAAA